rnacentral:rRNA from 1 species
GACGAACGCUGGCGGCGUGCCUAACACAUGCAAGUCGAGCGAGUAGAUUUCCUUCGGGAAUGAAGCUAGCGGCGGACGGGUGAGUAACACGUGGGCAACCUGCCUCAUAGAGGGGAAUAGCCUCCCGAAAGGGAGAUUAAUACCGCAUAAGAUUGUAGCUUCGCAUGAAGUAGCAAUUAAAGGAGCAAUCCGCUAUGAGAUGGGCCCGCGGCGCAUUAGCUGGUUGGUGAGGUAACGGCUCACCAAGGCGACGAUGCGUAGCCGACCUGAGAGGGUGAUCGGCCACAUUGGGGCUGAGACACGGCACAGACUCCUACGGGAGGCAGCAGUGGGGAAUAUUGCACAAUGGGGGAAACCCUGAUGCGGCAACGCCGCGUGAGUGAUGACGGCCUUCGGGUUGUAAAGCUCUGUCUUCAGGGACGAUAAUGACGGUACCUGAGGAGGAAGCCACGGCUAACUACGUGCCAGCAGCCGCCGUAAAAC